UCAAUUGACAAGACUUUUGGUAAACUUACCAAGAAAGACUCGUUCAAUUUACGACCAAGUGGGUUAAAAUUUUUUCUUUUUUUAAAUUAAAAAUCAUAAGCGUCAUAGUCAUCAUAAGCGAAGAAAGGCAACCACAGGCAAUCAUAUUUGGGAAAGGACGUGACAUGGAAAUUAGUGUAUUUUUAAUAGUAAACACUGCCCUCCUUUCCGUCCUCACCCAUCUGACUUAUUAUUUUCGGGGGUUAGGCUGGUACAGGAUAGGACGGGGCACGUACUGGCAGGCUACUUAAACAAACAAAAAAAAUCCCGGAGGCAAACUCCUGUAAAGCGAGCUAUGAGUGUGUCAGCAAGUCUGAGAGUGACAAAGCAGAACAUCCUCCUCCUCCUCCUCCUCCAUAUGAUCUCCUGAACUUGGCGCGUCCUGGCUCAUGUAGACUGAGGCUUUGCCUUUAAAAGCUCAAGCGUGGACCGGUGAACACAUAGUCAGCGUGCUCCGCGUCUGAAACACAUUACCUUCAACCGAGAAGCGUUUGACUGAGGGCACAUCACCGACCAUGAGCUCUUCACGCAGCGUGGGACUUUAUCUGACGCUUUUACUCGCUCUUCUGUGCGAUGCAUCGGAAGACCCUCCUGUCCAAAAGGAAGUUACUGACACAGGGAUUGAUAAAGAUGGCCUUCAGCAUGAGUUGCCACUUAACCCUAAGGUGCUGGACGUUUUGAUGAUGCAGAAACCGAUCAUCCCUGACCCUUCCAAAGUAAUAUUGUUUAUUGUUUAUUGUUAAUUUGGAUCCCCAUUAGCUUCCACAAAGUGGUUGCUAAUCUUCCUGGGGUCCACAGAGUUACACAAUACAAAAAAUCAUUCAAACAAAUAAAAUAAUAACAAAAAUACAAUUGCUAAUCCAGUCACAUCACAAAACUAUACCCAUACAUAUUAAUAGUAGCAGCACAAACAGAAGUACGUCUAUACCUUUAACAACAUGUUUACACAAUUUCUUUUGAACACAUGUGUUGAAUUACUUUUACGUAUAUUUAUAGGAACAACAUUCCAAGCAGCAGAGCCUCGAUAAAAUACAGUCUUUUUCAACAAAUUUGAUUGUGGACAUGGUAAAAACAGUUGAGACUUACUCACUUGACGUGUUUUAUGAUCGUGUCUAAAACCAACAUAUACAAGCUUUUCAAAGAAAAAACAUGGUGUAUGAUACUUGAUUACCUUAUAAAAAUAUACCAGCACUCGUAAAGUUGGUUUUAGACACGAUCAUAAAACACGUCAAGUGAGUAAGUCUCAACUGUUUUUACCAUGUCCACAAUCAAAUUUGUUGAAAAAGACUGUAUUUUAUCGAGGCUCUGCUGCUUGGAAUGUUGUUCCUAUAAAUAUACGUAAAAGUAAUUCAACACAUGUGUUCAAAAGAAAUUGUGUAAACAUGUUGUUAAAGGUAUAGACGUACUUCUGUUUGUGCUGCUACUAUUAAUAUGUAUGGGUAUAGUUUUGUGAUGUGACUGGAUUAGCAAUUGUAUUUUUGUUAUUAUUUUAUUUGUUUGAAUGAUUUUUUGUAUUGUGUAACUCUGUGGACCCCAGGAAGAUUAGCAACCACUUUGUGGAAGCUAAUGGGGAUCCAAAUUAACAAUAAACAAUAAACAAUAAUGGAUCAUCACCAUCAGACAGAUCAGUGUGUGACAUCAAAGUACCGUGUGAGCUAUAGAGAGCAGACGGCUCCUUAUAUGCUUUUGAAUCUCUAUCACGGUACUUUGAUGUCAUACACUGAUGAUGAUCUUCUU
rnacentral:lncRNA from 1 species